AACACCACUACCAGGUCUACGCAAGACUGAAAACAGUGAUCUCCAUGUUUUCAGUAGUGUUCACUUCACAGUUCACACGCUAGCAUGCUUUUCAGUAGUUGCGCAUCUACGGACCUACCUGUUAUCACAGGCACAUUUCGAGCUCUUCACAUCGAGUUCAAUCCUAAACCACUCACGUUUCAUAGUAUGAUCCAAAGUCCAAACAACGCCUCAUUACGCUCUGAACAGGAUAUAGUAACUGUAAAGUACAGCACCCGCCCUCAGAAACAUGUUGACAUCUAAAUCUACCAAACUCAUGGAGAAACAACAACAAAAAUGUGCCUGGAACUUCUAUAUGCACAGCACAGCUUAAGAAGUUAUUAACAACAAUUGUGCUACAAACAAUUGGAUGAAAUAAUAAGAGGCAAUAAUUGCAAACCGUGCAACAGAAAAGUGCAACAAUGUUUUCAGGACUGCAGUACCAUUCUUUUCUAGAACAAUACUACUACAACCAUGUCAAAUUCUCAAUAUAGUGGUGAGCUUAGUCUCCAUAAGACCUACCAAACCAUCUCCAUCGUUUCUCUGAUUAUUAGCCAAAAUCUCAUUCUUUACACAAGAAAUCAAGAGGAUUUGGAAUCAUUUUUUAGAGUAAAACAUGUUUAAAUCCUGCAGGAAAUAAAACUGUUCCAACCUAUCACGACAGGCACACAUAAGAUGGCCCCAUAUUUAACCAUAUAUAAGCUCCCCCAAAUGCACAUUGCUACAAUCCAAUACAGAAACCUAC
rnacentral:lncRNA from 1 species